rnacentral:rRNA from 1 species
CCUACGGGUGGCAGCAGUAGGGAAUUUUCGGCAAUGGGGGGAACCCUGACCGAGCAACGCCGCGUGAACGAAGAAGUUAUUCGUAAUGUAAAGUUCUUUUAAGAGGGAAGAAAGAGAAAUUUGACGGUACCUGAAGAAUAAGCUCCGUCUAACUACGUGCCAGCAGCUGCGGUGAAACGUAGGGAGCGAGCGUUAUCCGGAAUUAUGGGGUGUAAAGGGUGCGUGGAUGGCAUAGUAAGUCUUUGGUAAAAAUGCUGGGCUCAACCUAGAAGGGCAAAAGAUACUGGAAAGCUAGAGUAUGAAAGAGGCAAGUGGAACUAAAUGUGUAGCGGUAAAAUGCGUAAAUAUAUGUAAGAACACCAGUGGCGAAGGCGGCUUGCUGGGUCGAUACUGACAUUGAGGCACGAAAGCGUGGGGAGCAAACAGGAUUAGAUACCCCAGUAGUC